UGUUCUCAGGGCGGGGCGAAAUUCCCCACCGGUGGUAUAUGGGCAUCGUCCCAUGAGCCCACGAGCGGCCCUUUAAGGGUGUCAGCAGAUCUGGUGAAACGCCAGAGCCGACGGUCAUAGUCCGGAUGAAAGAGAGCA
rnacentral:ncRNA from 1 species